rnacentral:pre_miRNA from 1 species
UUUGUACUCCCUAUGUCCCAAAAUACUUGUCUUAUAUUUGUUUAGAUACGGAUGUAUCAAGUCAUGUUUUAGUAUUAGAUACAUCUGUAUCUAGACAAAUCUAAGACAAGAAUUUUGGGACGGAGGGUGUAUCAU